UUCUGUAGAGACAUGGAGCAAUUCUCUCUCCGGCAAUAAGGCUCAGCCCGGUCAGUCAAGUUCCAGGGAGCUCCUGAAAACACAAGUCUGUCUAUGCCUCGGCUGCAGCACCCAAAAAUUUUCAGGUGAGGGUAACUUACACAUUUCCUGAAUGAAAGAAAAAUGGGCCAACGUGAGAGGGAGCAGGAGAGAAGAUGUACAGCAGUCCUACGAUGACACCAAAUUUAGCAGCAAAAAACGAUCCGCUUCUGCUGGACCACGUGUUUCUCAGAACUGGGAGUAGCUGCCAGCAAGAGCGGCUCACAGGGAGAGGCGAUGGCUGUUUACCUGCGCUGCUCAGCCGGGCCGGGGAGGACAGAUGGCUGGAAAGAGAGGAAGAAUUCCUAAUGGCAUCCCCGUUGGUGAAAGCUGGAACAUAAGGAUCUGGAUCACAUCCAGUAACAGAACUAAAACCAAUCCUACGUCAAGACAGUAUAACAACCAGGGGAUUGUAGAUGCUAAGCACAGCUCGGAAACUGAGGCACGAAGAAAGGACUUUGCUCAAGGCAGUGAGGAAGAUCUUCAGCAAGGUUGGCAACUCCCAAGAGAUGAUCCGAGUUUCUGCCAAGUGCCUUGAUACCCACUUGUGUUCUCCGACAGAAGACAGUGACAUGACACGAAUGGUAGCACAAGGCUCUUACUGUUGCCUUCAAUAAUUGAUUCUCCUGGAUGGAUUGUGACUCCCCAAAGGCUGCAAAGAGAG